GUUAUAGUAGUAGAAGAAGAAGAGGAGGAUGAGGAAGAAGAUGGCGGAGGCGCAGUCGAGUGUUGUUCCGUGUGGUGACAUGAUGGCAGACCUUCAGGAGAACGUGAGCGCGGGAGAGAAGGCUGCUUGUGGGAAGAAACCAGUGUGUUUGAUCGUGCUCGGCAUGGCUGGAUCCGGAAAGACAACCUUCGUUCAGAGGUUGACGGCUCAUCUUUACUCUCUCAAAAGUCCUCCGUACCUCAUCAACCUGGACCCCGCCGUCCACGAGAUCCCCUUCCCUCCAAACAUCGACAUCCGAGACACGGUGAACUACAAAGAGGUGAUGAAGCAGUACGGCCUGGGACCCAACGGCGGCAUCGUGACCUCUCUCAACCUGUUUGCUACUCGCUUUGAUCAGGUGAUGCAGUUCAUAGAGAAGAAGCAACAUGAUCACCGGUACGUGCUGAUUGACACGCCGGGUCAGAUUGAAGUGUUCACGUGGUCCGCUUCUGGAACCAUCAUCACAGAAGCUCUGGCGUCGUCCUUCCCCUGCGUGGUGGUCUACGUCAUGGACACGUCACGCAGCGUCAAUCCUGUCACCUUCAUGUCCAACAUGCUGUACGCUUGCAGUAUUCUCUACAAGACCAAGCUACCUUUCAUCGUAGCCAUGAACAAAACUGACAUCAUCGAGCACAGCUUUGCCGUGGAGUGGAUGCAGGACUUUGAGGUUUUCCAGGACGCUCUAAACCAGGAAACCUCAUAUGUGAGCAACCUGACACGCUCCAUGAGUCUGGUUCUGGAUGAGUUCUACUCCAACCUGAGGGUAGUGGGCGUGUCCUCGGUGACGGGAAACGGAUUGGACGAGCUCCUUGUUAAGGUGCAGGAUGCUGCUGAGGAGUACGACAGGGAUUAUCGACCAGAAUAUGAAAGACUUCGCAAACAACUGAUGGACGCUCAAAGUCAAAAGCAGCAAAAGCAGCUGGAGAGACUGCGGAAGGAUCUCGGUGCCAUGGACAUGUCGACGUCCGUUUCAGAAAACGCCGACGUGGCCGGACCCAGCGACCUCAUCAUGACCCGCGGCAUCCGUGAGUCUGACGACGACGGCGGCGGCAUGGACAGCGACACGGACGACAUUGACCACAGCAAAGUGGAGGAGAGCAAAGAAAAGAACGCCUUUGGGAACUUCCUGCAGGAGAGGAGGGAGGUGGUUCAGGUCCGAAAUCGAAAGUGCGGAUUGCCGGAGAGUUGAAGGAGUUGCACCGGCGGGACUCAAACUCUUAUUUCGUCAUCUCUGGAUGGACCAGCAGAAAACAAAGCUUGGUUGGCUGCCUCAGUUUGUUUCCAGUUGGCAAUCCCACAAACUCCUUCGUCUCCUCGGUGGUCCUCAGCUCCAAACACCCGGGAGAGCAUCUGGAAGAUCAACUGGGCUGGACUGCCAACAUGGGCGCUCUGUGCAGGAAAGGGCGGAGCCGUCUUUACUUCCUCAGGAGGCGCUCCAGUCAUGAGAAGGAAAAAAGACGCUCGCACCAAAUUAGAUUUACAAAAUGUAUUGAAGAGUAAGUCAGACAGGAUAUCUCGCAGUCUUUUUAAAAAGCCCUGGACCCCGUUCCAGUCACCUGGACCCCUCUGGCCGAAUGAAAGAGUUCCCCUCGAUUGUCCCAUCUGUCAUUUUUAUGCUUGUUUUGCUCAGACCAUUGGCGCCAGCUUCUCCAGAGAUGACUUCCUCCUGGAUUCCUUGAUGAAGCUUGUGACGCUAGCAGAUGAUAGCCGGCUCCUUCGCCACCGCGAUAACACUUCCUGUAGUUGUUGACAUAAACACAACAUUCUUUUCCUUCGCCUGCUUCAAGGCUCAGGCCGGGGUUUGUGUGUUCUGACUACGUUCUGGACCAUGCAGUAUCUGGCUGGUGAAAGCUGUGGCAAACAGUAUUUCUGUUUCACCUUUGACCCACGUAAACAUGUUGAUCUCGGCUAAUUAUUGAAUAAAGCAUUGUUUCUAUAAA